CCUACGGGUGGCAGCAGUGAGGAAUAUUGGUCAAUGGACGAGAGUCUGAACCAGCCAAGUAGCGUGAAGGAUGACUGCCCUAUGGGUUGUAAACUUCUUUUAUAUGGGAAUAAAGUGAGGAACGUGUUCCUUUUUGUAUGUACCAUAUGAAUAAGCAUCGGCUAACUCCGUGCCAGCAGCCGCGGUAAUACGGAGGAUGCGAGCGUUAUCCGGAUUUAUUGGGUUUAAAGGGUGCGUAGGUGGUUAAUUAAGUCAGCGGUGAAAGUUUGUGGCUCAACCAUAAAAUUGCCGUUGAAACUGGUUGACUUGAGUAUAUUUGAGGUAGGCGGAAUGCGUGGUGUAGCGGUGAAAUGCAUAGAUAUCACGCAGAACCCCGAUUGCGAAGGCAGCAUGCCGGCUUCCGACUGACGCUGAAGCACGAAAGCGUGGGGAUCGAACAGGAUUAGAUACCCUGGUAGUC
rnacentral:rRNA from 1 species